ensembl:lncRNA
GAUAAAAGUCCUCCUGCACCCACAGCACUGUCUCUAAGGCUGCCCUGGAUCCACAACAUUGACCACAAACAGCCAGAGGAGACUGUUGAGAACACCACAGAGUGCUCAGUUGACAUAGAGGCAUGUGCAGUUGCAUCCACUGUCAAGAGAGAGGAACUGAUGGGUGAUAAAAGCCCUGUCCAUGCACUUCCUCCAAGCCUGGCAUGCAUCCAUGACAAGGACCACAAGCAGCCAGAUCAGAAAGGAAGGGGCACUACUGUGGAGGUGGAUAUCUGCCCUCACGCUCAACAGCUGGUCUCAGAUGCUAACUUAACUCUGGCAACCCGCAAUGAUGAGCUGCCCACCCCUCUGAUCUGCGUGGUCACUAAGAUGCCUGUUAGAGUUGGAGCUUCCAUAUGCAGGUCAGAGGGUAAGGAACCCAGGCCCUGGACCCUGGAAGAGGCAAAGGAUUAUUGGAUAGGCAUUGAAAAUGAGAGUGAAGAGAGGAGCGUCACUGAGGAGGUGAGCCCGAGGGAGGGAUUGAAGAGUGUGGCGGAUUGUGCCCAUUCCAAGUGCUCCAAUGGGAUGGUUUCAUCAGAGAGAGCAGAGACCUACCUGGGAAGAGUGGGCUUUCUGCUCAUGAACCAAAUGCAGAAAAUCCCAUUUUUGAAGAUGGAGGAAAAAGAGAAAAAUAAGAAACUGAAUAAGAAGUUGAAAGAUAAAGAGAGAAAGGAGAUGAAACACAAGGAGGAGGAGCAAAAAAAGAGGGAGAAGAAAGAGAUGAAGGAGAGAGAGAAAGAGCAGAAGAAAGUCAUGAAGGCUGAGAAGAAGAGGGAGAAGUUAGAACAGAAAAAGAGAGAGAAGGAAAGAAAAGAGAAGGAAAAGGCAGAGAAAAAGAGGUUAGAGGGGCUGAUGAAGAUACAUAAUGACAUGAUGAAAGACAGAAUUAAGAAAGAGAAGAAGUGUUAUGAGGAGCUAAAAAAGAGAGAGAAAGCUCAAGCUGCAUUCUUGGAGAUGGAGAGAAAGAUUCAAGAAAAGGAGGAGAAGAAGAGAGAAAAGAUGAGGAGAGAGGAGAGGAAGAGACUGAGAAGAAGAAGAGGGAGCCAGUUGGAGGUGGAACUGAGACGGUGAUAGAAGAGAAUAUGG